UACAGAGGUGGCAAGCGUUGUUCGGAAUUACUGGGCGUAAAGGGCGCGUAGGCGGCCUCCUAAGUCAGACGUGAAAUCCCCCGGCUUAACCUGGGAACUGCGUCUGAUACUGGAAGGCUUGAGGAUGGGAGAGGGAUGUAGAAUUCCAGGUGUAGCGGUGAAAUGCGUAGAUAUCUGGAGGAAUACCGGUGGCGAAGGCGGCAUCCUGGACCAUUACUGACGCUGAGGCGCGAAAGCUAGGGGAGCAAACGGG
rnacentral:rRNA from 1 species